CGCGUAGGCGGUUAUUUAAGUCAGAGGUGAAAACUCUGGGCUCAACUCAGAGCCUGCCUCUGAAACUGGGUGACUUGAGGGCAGGAGAGGGGAGUGGAAUUCCCAGUGUAGCGGUGAAAUGCGUAGAUAUUGGGAGGAACACCAGUGGCGAAGGCGGCUCUCUGGCCUGUUACUGACGCUGAGGCGCGAAAGCGUGGGGAUCAAACA
rnacentral:rRNA from 1 species